rnacentral:rRNA from 1 species
UUUAAAUGAAGACCAGAACAAAAGAUUAAACGUUUAAAUUAAUAUCUUUAAUUAAAAUAUUCAAACUUUUUCUAAAUGUAAAAAAACAUUUAUUAAAAAGAAAGACGACAAGACCCUAUUGAACUUAACUAUAGUUAAACUGGGGCAGUUAAUUAAUAAUUAUUUUAAUUUACUUAAUAUAAAAAAUACCCAAUAUAAUUGAUUUAUAAUCCAGUUACCAUAGGGAUAACAGCGUAAUAAUUUUCUAAAGCUCUUAUAUAAAUAAUAGUUUACGACCUCGAUGUUGAAUUAAUAACCUAAUUUUAGCAAAAAAAAAUAAAGGAAGUCUGUUCGACUUUUAAAAAAUUACAUGAUUUGAGUUCAGACCGGUAUAAGCCAGGUCGGUUUCUAUCUUCUCAUAACUUCUUACAGUACGAAAGGGCCUAAGAAAAUAAUUAUAUUAAAUAAUUUAAUUGGCAGAAAAUUGCAUUAGAAUUAGAAUCUAAUAAAACUUCAAUCUCAUUUAUAUUAUCUUUCUUAGUUAUUACUUUAAGA